rnacentral:siRNA from 1 species
UUUACAAAGUGUCUUAAGGCCAAC